CCUACGGGAGGCAGCAGUGAGGAAUAUUGGUCAAUGGGCGCAAGCCUGAACCAGCCAAGUAGCGUGAAGGAUGACGGCCCUACGGGUUGUAAACUUCUUUUAUAGGGGAAUAAAGUGAGUCACGUGUGCCUUUUUGCAUGUACUUUAUGAAUAAGGACCGGCUAACUCCGUGCCAGCAGCCGCGGUAAUACGGAGGGUCCGAGCGUUAUCCGGAUUUAUUGGGUGUAAAGGGAGCGUAGAUUGGUUGUUAAGUCAGUUGUGAAAGGCUGCGGCUCAACCGUGAAAUUGCAAUGGAAACUGGCAGUCUGGAGUGCAGUAGAGGUAGGCGGAAUUCGUGGUGUAGCGGUGAAAUGCUUAGAUAUCACGAAGAACUCCGAUUGCGAAGGCAGCUUACUGAACUGUCACUGACGUUGAGGCUCGAAAGUGUGGGUAUCAAACAGGAUUAGAUACCCUUGUAGUC
rnacentral:rRNA from 1 species